UCAACCCAAAACUGUGCAGUUUUUUGACCCAAACCUGUGCGGUUUUUUGACCCAAAACCAGAGGUUUUUCAACCCAAAAGUGUGAGUUUUCUGACCCCAAACUGUGUGUUUUUUUGACCCAAAACUAGAGGUUUUUCAACCCAAAACUGUGGGUUUUCCGACCCCAAACCGUGGGUUUCUCAGCCCAAAACUGUGGGGCUUUCUGACCCCCCAAAACCGUGGGUUUCUCGAC